UGCGCAGGUGGGGAUGUAAGUCAGUGGUGAAAUACUGCCGCUUAACGGUAGAAUUGCCAUUGAUACUGCAUCUCUUGAGUAUGGUUGAGGUAGGCGGAAUGUGUCGUGUAGCGGUGAAAUGCAUAGAUAUGACACAGAACGCCGAUUGCGAAGGCAGCUUACUAAGCCAUUACUGACGCUGAGGCACGAAAGCGUGGGGAGCGAACAGGAUUAGAUACCCUGGUAGUCC
rnacentral:rRNA from 1 species